GGCUGGUUAGCUCAGCUAGUCAGAGCGUGCUGUUCACAAUGCCAAGGUUGUGGGUUCCAUCCCCAUACUGCCCA
rnacentral:tRNA from 1 species